UCAGCGCGGCCUGCGGCGGUCACGGACGCUGCGGAAGGGUCCCUGAGCGAGGGCGCUGCUGACGUAGGCGGCCCCGGCUUCGUGCGCACUCAGGCCGAGAAGCUGCGGCUAGAGGGACCCGUGUAGGGGCAGAAAGAGACCUUUCAGUGCGAGCCGUCGCCGAGACCUUUGCCAAGGCGCGGCGGCCGGGGGGGAUGGGAGGGCUGCGCUGCGGCCCGAGGUUGGCUGCCGGCCAGGCCUGGGCGCUCGCUCUCCCGUAUCCCUCUUGCUUGCUGCUGCCUGGGAGUGCCGAUUCCCCAGCAGGGAAAUCCGUUUGCUGCUAGCCAGAGUUCAGUGGCUUUUCCUUUUGUGUUUUCUUGAGCGUGCUCUUUCUCUCUGCGCCUCCUUUGUGGUUUACAGUCAUGCUUUAAAGAUUCACACGAGGCCACCUGGUCUGUAAACUGAGGCUGCAGAGAAACCCUUCCAGUCCCUCCCAGGUACUCCACUUAAUUGGGGGAAGGAAACCUAACCGGAGAAACCUGAAAGGAUGACUGCACAGGACAGGCUUUAAGGACAAAUAGAUUGCCUCAACUACAAAGUGAUUCCAUUUCAGAUAAUAUUACCAGAACUAUAAGAUGGAAUAUUCAGUCCACCUAAAGAAACAAAUAUGUUAAAAAAAAAAAAGAAGAAAGAAAAAGGAAAAAAUGGGAGUGAUGGUGUGAAACUACUGGAAAAGAGGGAAAAAGUAUCCUUGAUAUAUGAGAAAUGUGAAGAUUCCCUGGUGUGAAACAGGGAGCUGAACUGAAGCAAAAACUAUUCAGGCUGGAAUAAGUAAAUAUGAGGUAAACACGGAGUCUCUCCCGAACCUAGAACAUGCUUUUUUAUCAAGCAGGGGAUAAGAAAAUGCUUGUUGACUAAAUCUAAUGAAGGGGCUGUGAUAAUAGAGAGAAGUUCACUGGUCUUGGAGAGCCAGCCCUAUCAUCAAAUUUCCCAAGAGAUGACAUAUGUGUGAUUGAAGAGUUUUUCAACACCCACAGCUUACUUCAGAUGAUGUGUCAUUAUUCAUUUCUAGGCAGAAGUUCCAAAUUGGAAAAGAUGUGGGGUGGAGCAGGAUGACAGAGGCCCCUACCACCUGCACUCUCCUCUCCACACCCCACUGGGUCUCAAGUCUCCAAGGUGCACAGCAGACUCCUGAAGUGAAGGUGAGGAUGUGAGAUAGUUUGAAAUUUUCCCUUGCUGAUUCUAAUAUGAGUUUCUCCCCUUCUACUCUUAUCCCCCGCAUCAAUCCUGAAAUAUCACUGUUUCAAUGCCAAAAGUUAAGGACACAAACACAACUCCUGGGUGGUCAGAAAGGCAUGCAAUUAUAUUCUUAGAAUGUAUGCAGUGCCAAGCUGGAAAAUGUAGUCUUAUAUAUAUAUAUCAGAAUAUGUAUGUCAUAGAUUUUUAUUGACCUAGGAGCUGUUUUAAAUAGGGUUCACAUAUCUUUAGGAAUACAUCAAAACCAAGGGCAAAUACAAAUGGUUUUAGUCACCCUGGGAAACCUAAGUAUGUGCUUUCUCUAUACUCCAGCUUCACUGAGGCAGCACAGAGAUGAAUAAUUUGGAUUCCAAACAUACUGGCUUAUUCAGCUUAGUGAGAUAUAUUAGCAAUUAACUUACAUGUUUGCAUUGAUAGACUUAGCCCAGUAGUUUAAGAUGCCAGCUGGAGUUAUAUUAACAUUUUUCCUUGUUCUAUUAAUUGUAGUUAUUAAGAUUCUGCAUAAUACGCAAUCUUUCUUGGCACCCAGUGCUGUUGCUUUUAAUAUGCAAAUCUAGGACAUUUAACUUGUGUGCAUGGGCGUGGUCAUAAGCAUGAAUGCACAUGAACACACAUGCACACACAAGGCAAAGAAGCUGAUUUCUGAUAAUACUUGGAUGUAUUUCCCUCAGAUGAAUAAAUGACAUUUAGUCCUCUUUAAUGUAGUUGACAGAGAAAAAGAAGGUACAUAAAUAAGUUAUCUUGUUUUUAUAAUUUUUCAUGAAUUUAAAUAUUGAUCUGUGACAUGAAAGAUUUUAUUUUAGGGCUUACUAGAAGGCACUAAGGAAGUUUGAAGGUGUUGUAUUAGUCAGGCUAGGAUAGACUGUGCUUCACAAAAAAACCAACUCAGAAAUAUCAGUGUUAAUAAUAUAUAGCCACCUUCUCCAUACCUCACAGGUUGUCAGGCAGCUUGCUUUGAACCAUGAUUCAAGGAUCCAUCUUGACUCUAUCAUCUCAAUGCUAGUUUUCCACAUUCUUUGAGGCAAGAAAUGAAAGUUGGUGCAGUGUUCCUCUGGGGUUUCGACUGGCUCAGCCUAGAAGUUACAUACAUUGAUUGUAUUCACACAUUCUUUGGAUCAGAGCUAGUGAUAUGGGCCACUUAUAUCCAGUAGAACUAGAAUUGUGAAGUGCGUACUUAUUGAUGAGAAUUCCAGAUUUAUGCUACACUUGUACGAUAAUGACUGAGAUAAGGGAAUAAAAUAGUGAAUUUGUAGGGUUAAAAGCUAAUUUUAUUCAAAAGUUUUUGCUCUUAUUUUGUGUGCUUUUACAGAAAAGCACAACUAACGAGUGUUAACUGGUUAAAAGCUUCUGCGUUUUGUAAUUUUUUCUGAGAUUCACAUCUGCUGGGAUCUUUAUAUCCUUUUGAUUUAUGGUUGUCAUGCAUCUAGGUGAUCAAUAUAUAAAAAAUGACAUGUGCAUCUGAGCUGUGAUACUGUGUUUGUGAUACUGUGACCAAGAUGUGGCAGAACUUAUUAGCAUUUUUAGGUAACUUUAUGUGAAAGAGGAACCCCCCCCCUUUUUUUUUAGAUACUGUGGAUUGAACCCAGGGCCUCACACAUGCUAAAUGAGUACUUUUAUCAUUGAGCUACAACCCCAGACCUUUAAAAUUUUAUUCUGAGAUGGGCAUCUUUCUAAGCUUCUCGGAUUAGCCUCAAAAUUGCAAUCCUCCUCCUGCCUCAGCCUUCCAAGUAGCUGGGAUUGCAGGUUUGUACUACUGCAACCUGGUGAUGAGAAAACAUUUUUAAAGAAGAUGUUUGAA